GAUGAACGCUGGCGGCGUGCCUAAUACAUGCAAGUCGAGCGAACGGACGAGAAGCUUGCUUUUCUGAUGUUAGCGGCGGACGGGUGAGUAACACGUGGAUAACCUACCUAUAAGACUGGGAUAAAUUCGGGAAACCGGAGCUAAUACCGGAUAAUAUUUUGAACCGCAUGGUUCAAAAGUGAAAGACGGUCUUGCUGUCACUUAUAGAUGGAUCCGCGCUGCAUUAGCUAGUUGGUAAGGUAACGGCUUACCAAGGCAACGAUGCAUAGCCGACCUGAGAGGGUGAUCAGCCACACUGGAACUGAGACACGGUCCAGACUCCUACGGGAGGCAGCAGUGGGGAAUCUUCCGCAAUGGGCGAAAGCCUGACGGAGCAACGCCGCGUGAGUGAUGAAGGUCUUCGGAUCGUAAAACUCUGUUAUCAGGGAAGAACAUAUGUGUAAGUAACUGUGCACAUCUUGACGGUACCUAAUCAGAAAGCCACGGCUAACUACGUG
rnacentral:rRNA from 1 species